rnacentral:rRNA from 1 species
AUUGAACGCUGGCGGCAGGCCUAACACAUGCAAGUCGAGCGGAUGAAGGGAGCUUGCUCCUGGAUUCAGCGGCGGACGGGUGAGUAAUGCCUAGGAAUCUGCCUGGUAGUGGGGGAUAACGUCCGGAAACGGGCGCUAAUACCGCAUACGUCCUGCGGGAGAAAGUGGGGGAUCUUCGGACCUCCCGCUAUCAGAUGAGCCUAGGUCGGCUUAGCUAGUUGGUGGGGUAAAGGCCUACCAAGGCGACGAUCCGUAACUGGUCUGAGAGGAUGAUCAGUCACACUGGAACUGAGACACGGUCCAGACUCCUACGGGAGGCAGCAGUGGGGAAUAUUGGACAAUGGGCGAAAGCCUGAUCCAGCCAUGCCGCGUGUGUGAAGAAGGUCUUCGGAUUGUAAAGCACUUUAAGUUGGGAGGAAGGGCAGUAAGUUAAUACCUUGCUGUUUUGACGUUACCAACAGAAUAAGCACCGGCUAACUUCGUG